GACGAACGCUGGCGGCGUGCUUAACACAUGCAAGUCGAACGGUGAAGCGCCUUCCUUUUUGGUGGGUGUGGAUGAGUGGCGAACGGGUGAGUAACACGUGAGUAACCUGCCCCCUUCUUCUGGAUAACCGCAUGAAAGUGUGGCUAAUACGGGAUAUUCUGGGUCUGUCGCAUGAUGGGUCUGGGAAAGAUAUUGUUUCGGUGGGGGAUGGGCUCGCGGCCUAUCAGCUUGUUGGUGGGGUGAUGGCCUACCAAGGCGGUGACGGUAGCCGGCCUGAGAGGGUGGACGGUCACACUGGGACUGAGACACGGCCCAGACUCCUACGGGAGGCAGCAGUGGGGAAUAUUGCACAAUGGGCGCAAGCCUGAUGCAGCGACGCCGCGUGAGGGAUGGAGGCCUUCGGGUUGUGAACCUCUUUCGCCAGUGAAGCAGGCCUGCCUCGUUUGUGGGUGGGUUGACGGUAGCUGGAUAAGAAGCGCCGGCUAACUACGUG
rnacentral:rRNA from 1 species